rnacentral:rRNA from 1 species
AUUGAACGCUGGCGGCAUGCCUUACACAUGCAAGUCGAACGGCAGCACGGGUGCUUGCACCUGGUGGCGAGUGGCGAACGGGUGAGUAAUACAUCGGAACAUGUCCUGUAGUGGGGGAUAGCCCGGCGAAAGCCGGAUUAAUACCGCAUACGAUCCACGGAUGAAAGCUGGGGACCUUCGGGCCUCGCGCUAUAGGGUUGGCCGAUGGCUGAUUAGCUAGUUGGUGGGGUAAAGGCCUACCAAGGCGACGAUCAGUAGCUGGUCUGAGAGGACGACCAGCCACACUGGGACUGAGACACGGCCCAGACUCCUACGGGAGGCAGCAGUGGGGAAUUUUGGACAAAGGGCGAAAGCCUGAUCCAGCAAUGCCGCGUGUGUGAAGAAGGCCUUCGGGUUGUAAAGCACUUUUGUCCGGAAAGAAAUCCUUGACUCUAAUACAGUCGGGGGAUGACGGUACCGGAAGAAUAAGCACCGGCUAACUACGUG